UUUUUGGUGCAGUGAGGAAUUCCUGGGUCAGAAAAAGGGAGCGACACUGAUGCUGGACUGAACAAGGGCAGCUCCAGGCCUCUUUUGGACAUUCAAGGGAAAAACUGGAGACCAGAAAGGUGAUGUGAAAGAGUGACUUCCAUCAAACGGCUGUGCAGGUGAAUCUGUCUAUAGAUUAUGAAUGCAAGAACUAAAAGGGUCUGAUAAAAUGUGUAAAGCAUAUGAAAGACAGUAAAUACUUUUUUAAAAAGACAUCAGCUGACCUGCUACUCUGACAAACAGCUUUUUCUCAGACUUUUCAAAUUCAUGUUCUACAUGCAAGGAAAAGUGUUCUUGAAAGGAGCUCACAAGAGCUAUUGUACAAGAAGGAUUUACUGCUUCAAUUGGAAUCUUUGCAAGAUCA